UAACCUACGGGACGCCGCAGUAUUUAAUCUUCCACAAUUGACGAAAGUCUGAUGGAGCAACGCCGCGUGAGUGAAGAAGGGUUUCGGCUCGUAAAGCUCUGUUGGUAGUGAAGAAAGAUAGAGGUAGUAACUGGCCUUUAUUUGACGGUAAUUGCUUAGAAAGUCACGGCUAACUACGUGCCAGCAGCCGCGGUAAUACGUAGGUGGCCAGCGUUGUCCGGAUUUAUUGGGCGUAAAGCGAGUGCAGGCGGU
rnacentral:rRNA from 1 species